UGGUGUUACAGCUUUCUAAGAAUUUAUCUUGCAGGUUUUCUGGUCUUCACCGGAAAGCCCCU
rnacentral:snRNA from 1 species